UACGGAGGGUGCAAGCGUUAUCCGGAUUCACUGGGUUAAAGGGUGCGUAGGCGGGCAGGUAAGUCCGUGGUGAAAUCUCUGAGCUUAACUCAGAAACUGCCAUGGAUACUAUUUGUCUUGAAUAUUGUGGAGGUAAGCGGAAUAUGUCAUGUAGCGGUGAAAUGCUUAGAUAUGACAUAGAACACCAAUUGCGAAGGCAGCUCACUACACAAUCAUUGACGCUGAGGCACGAAAGCGUGGGAAUCAAACAGG
rnacentral:rRNA from 1 species